rnacentral:rRNA from 1 species
UACAGAGGGUGCAAGCGUUAAUCGGAAUUACUGGGCGUAAAGCGUGCGUAGACGGUUAUGUAAGUCAGGUGUGAAAGCCCCGGGCUCAACCUGGGAAUUGCAUUUGAGACUGCAUAGCUAGGGUGCGGAAGAGGGAAGCGGAAUUCCGCGUGUAGCAGUGAAAUGCGUAGAGAUGCGGAGGAACACCGAUGGCGAAGGCAGCCUCCUGGGAUAACACUGACGCUCAGGCACGAAAGCGUGGGGAGCAAACAGG